AUUGAACGCUGGCGGCAUGCUCUACACAUGCAAGUCGAACGGUAACAGGUUAAGCUGACGAGUGGUGAACGGGUGAGUAAUGCAUCGGAACGUGCCCGAUCGUGGGGGAUAACGCAGCGAAAGCUGCGCUAAUACCGCAUACGAUCUGAGGAUGAAAGCGGGGGACCGUAAGGCCUCGCGCGAUCGGAGCGGCCGAUGUCAGAUUAGGUAGUUGGUGGGGUAAAGGCUCACCAAGCCAACGAUCUGUAGCUGGUCUGAGAGGACGACCAGCCACACUGGGACUGAGACACGGCCCAGACUCCUACGGGAGGCAGCAGUGGGGAAUUUUGGACAAUGGGCGAAAGCCUGAUCCAGCAAUGCCGCGUGCAGGAAGAAGGCCUUCGGGUUGUAAACUGCUUUUGUACGGAGCGAAAAGGCUCUCUCUAAUACAGGGGGCUCAUGACGGUACCGUAAGAAUAAGCACCGGCUAACUACGUGCCAGCCGCCGCCGUAA
rnacentral:rRNA from 1 species